AAACUAUUCACUCUGUUCCGAAUUACUUGUCACAAGUAUGGAUGUAUCUAGAUGUAUUUUAGUUCUAGAUACAUCCAUUUCUACUACUAGUAAUUUGGAACGGAGGGAGUAGGAA
rnacentral:pre_miRNA from 1 species